CGGGGCGUGGCGCAGUCUGGUAGCGCACUUGCAUGGGGUGCAAGGGGUCGCGAGUUCGAAUCCCGCCGCCCCGACCA
rnacentral:tRNA from 2 species